rnacentral:rRNA from 1 species
UUUCCUACGGGAGGCAGCAGUGGGGAAUAUUGGACAAUGGGGGCAACCCUGAUCCAGCAAUGCCGCGUGUGUGAAGAAGGCCUGAGGGUUGUAAAGCACUUUCAGUGGGGAGGAGGUUAAUUUUGUUAAGAGCUGAGUUAAUGGACGUUACCCACAGAAGAAGCACCGGCUAACUCCGUGCCAGCAGCCGCGGUAAUACGGAGGGUGCGAGCGUUAAUCGGAAUUACUGGGCGUAAAGGGUGCGUAGGUUGUUUGAUAAGUGAUCUGUAAAAUCCCCGGGCUUAACCUGGGCAGGUCAGAUAAGACUGUUGGACUUGAGUAAAGGAGAGGGCAGUGGAAUUUCCGGUGUAGCGGUGAAAUGCGUAGAGAUCGGAAGGAACACCAGUGGCGAAGGCGGCUGCCUGGCCUGAUACUGACACUGAGGCACGAAAGCGUGGGGAGCAAACAGGAUUAGAUACCCGGGUAGUCU